rnacentral:rRNA from 1 species
CUCCCGGUUGAUCCUGCCGGACCCGACUGCUAUCAGAGUGGGACUAAGCCAUGCGAGUCAACGUAGCAAUACGUGGCAUACGGCUCAGUAACACGUAGUCAACAUGCCCAGGGGACGAGGAUAACCUCGGGAAACUGAGGAUAAACCUCGAUAGGCCAUGAUUUCUGGAAUGAUUCUUGGCUCAAACCUAUAUGGCCCCUGGAUUGGACUGCGGCCGAUCAGGCUGUUGAUGAGGUAAUGGCCCACCAAACCUAUUACCGGUACGGGCUCUGAGAGGAGGAGCCCGGAGAUGGGCACUGAGACAAGGGCCCAGGCCCUAUGGGGCGCAGCAGGCGCGAAACCUCUGCAAUAGGCGAAAGCCUGACAGGGUUACUCUGAGUGAUUUCCGCUAAGGGGAUCUUUUGGCACCUCUAAAAAUGGUGCAGAAUAAGGGGUGGGCAAGUCUGGUGUCAGCCGCCGCGGUAAUACCAGCACCCCGAGUGGUCGGGACGAUUAUUGGGCCUAAAGCAUCCGUAGCCGGUUCUGCAAGUCUUCCGUUAAAUCCAGCCGCUCAACGGAUGGGCCGCGGAGGAUACUACAGGACUAGGAGGCGGGAGAGGCAAGCGGUACUCAGUGGGUAGGGGUAAAAUCCUUUGAUCCAUUGAAGACCACCAGUGGCGAAGGCGGCUUGCCAGAACGCGCUCGACGGUGAGGGAUGAAAGCUGGGGGAGCAAACCGGAUUAGAUACCCGGGUAGUCCCAGCUGUAAACGAUGCAGACUCGGUGAUGGGCUAGCCUUGUGCCAGCCCAGUGCCGCAGGGAAGCCGUUAAGUCUGCCGCCUGGGGAGUACGGUCGCAAGACUGAAACUUAAAGGAAUUGGCGGGGGAGCA